rnacentral:antisense_RNA from 1 species
ACUUAGUUGAACGGAACUGGCCAAUAGUGCCCUUGGCUCGGACUGAUGACGCACAGCAGACGUAAGGAAGGCUCAGCUCGCCCGCGCACCGGAAAAAGCAAAGAGGAACUUUACAAACUGUUACAGUUUUCCAUCAUCACUUGACUGCUGACAAGAAACCUCUUUGAAUUCCAGUAUACACAAUCACAUUUUAAAACCUUCAAGACGCCGUUUAAUCAGGAGUUGUAAGGCACAUUUGUUAGAGAGAGCUGCACUUUAAAAAUUAUACAGACAUCACCUGAAGUUAUUAAAGUUAUCAAAACAUAUUAAAAACCUUCAAGUAAGAGGCUACUCCCCAGGAAACGUGUGGAGCCAGUGAAC